ACUCAAAUGAAUUGACGGGGGCCCGCACAAGCAGCGGAGCGUGUGGUUUAAUUCGACGCAACGCGCAGAACCUUACCCAGGCUUGACAUGCACGUGCAAGGCGUGGAAACGCGCCCCCCUCUUUGAGGUGCGUGCACAGGUGCUGCAUGGCUGUCGUCAGCUCGUGUCGUGAGAUGUUGGGUUAAGUCCCGCAACGAGCGCAACCCUUGUUGGUAGUUAGAUGUUCUCUACCGAGACUGCCGGGAGAAACUCGGAGGAAGGUGAGGAUGACGUCAAGUCAGCACGGCCCUUACGUCUGGGGCUACACACACGCUACAAUGGCCGGUACAACGGGCUGCGAAGCCGCGAGGCGAAGCCAAUCCCAUCAAAGCCGGUCUCAGUUCGGAUUGCAGGCUGCAACUCGCCUGCAUGAAGUCGGAGUUGCUAGUAAUCGCGGGUCAGCACACCGCGAUGAAUAUGUUCCCGGGCCUUGUACACACCGCCCGU
rnacentral:rRNA from 1 species